GACGUAGGGUGCAAGCGUUGUCCGGAUUUACUGGGCGUAAAGAGCGCGUAGGCGGCUCGUUAAGUGUGAAGCUAAAUCUCUUGGCUCAACCAAGAAAUCAUUUCGCAUACUGGCGGGCUGGAGUGAUGCAGAGGUGGAUAGAAUUCCCGGUGUAGCGGUGAAAUGCGUAGAUAUCAGGAGGAACACCUGUGGUGUAGACAGCUUACUGGACCAUUUCUGACGCUGAGACACGAAAGUGUGGGUAGCAAACAGG
rnacentral:rRNA from 1 species